UACGGAGGGGGCGAGCGUUAUUCGGAAUUAUUGGGCGUAAAGGGCGCGUAGGCGGGCUGCCGCGUCCGGGGUGAAAUCCCACGGCUCAACCGUGGAACUGCCCCGGAUACGGGCGGCCUCGAGGGGGGUAGGGGCAUCUGGAACUGUGAGUGGAGCGGUGAAAUGCGUUGAUAUUCACAGGAACUCCGGUGGCGAAGGCGAGGUGCUGGACCCCACCUGACCGCUGAGGCGCGAAAGCCAGGGGAGCAAACGGG
rnacentral:rRNA from 1 species